rnacentral:rRNA from 1 species
AGGUAGGAAUACCCGUUGAACUUAAGCAUAUCAAUAAGCGGAGGAAAAGAAACCAACAGGGAUUGCCCUAGUAACGGCGAGUGAAGCGGCAACAGCUCAAAUUUGAAAUCUGGCUUCGGCCCGAGUUGUAAUUUGCAGAGGAUGUUUAUGGUGCGGUACCUUCCGAGUUCCCUGGAACGGGACGCCACAGAGGGUGAGAGCCCCGUCUGGUUGGAUACCAAACCUGUGUUAAACUCCUUCAACGAGUCGAGUAGUUUGGGAAUGCUGCUCUAAAUGGGAGGUAAAUCUCUUCUAAAGCUAAAUACUGGCCAGAGACCGAUAGCGCACAAGUAGAGUGAUCGAAAGAUGAAAAGCACCUUGAAAAGGGGGUUAAACAGUACGUGAAAUUGUUGAAAGGGAAGCGUUUAUGACCAGACUUGUGUCGUGUGGCUCAUCCGAGGUUCUCCCCGGUGCACUCCACACGGCUCAGGCCAACAUCGGUUCUUGUUGGAGGAUAAGAACAGUAGGAACGUAGCUCUCCUUCGGGGGAGUGUUAUAGCCUAUUGUACGAUACUCUGACGGGGACCGAGGACCGCGCUUCGGCUAGGAUGUUGG